rnacentral:rRNA from 1 species
GACGAACGCUGGCGGCGUGCUUAACGCAUGCAAGUCGAACGGAAAGGCCCUGCUUUUGUGGGGUGCUCGAGUGGCGAACGGGUGAGUAACACGUGAGUAACCUGCCCUUGACUUUGGGAUAACUUCAGGAGACUGGGGCUAAUACCGGAUAGGAGCUCCUGCUGCAUGGCGGGGGUUGGAAAGUUUCGGCGGUUGGGGAUGGACUCGCGGCUUAUCAGCUUGUUGGUGGGGUAGUGGCUUACCAAGGCUUUGACGGGUAGCCGGCCUGAGAGGGUGACCGGCCACAUUGGGACUGAGAUACGGCCCAGACUCCUACGGGAGGCAGCAGUGGGGAAUAUUGCACAAUGGGCGGAAGCCUGAUGCAGCAACGCCGCGUGCGGGAUGACGGCCUUCGGGUUGUAAACCGCUUUCGCCUGUGACGAAGCGUGAGUGACGGUAAUGGGUAAAGAAGCACCGGCUAACUACGUG